UACGGGGGGGAGCAAGCGUUGUUCGGAUUUACUGGGCGUAAAGGGCGCGUAGGCGGCGUAACAAGUCACUUGUGAAAUCUCCGGGCUUAACUCGGAGCGGUCAAGUGAUACUGUUGUGCUAGAGUGCGGAAGGGGCUACUGGAAUUCUCGGUGUAGCGGUGAAAUGCGUAGAUAUCGGGAAGAACACCCGUGGCGAAGGCGGCUCUCUGGGACGGUACUGGACGCUGAGACGCGAAAGCGUGGGGAGCGAACAGG
rnacentral:rRNA from 1 species